GGGGGCGUAGCUCAGCUGGGAGAGCACCUGCCUUGCAAGCAGGGGGUCAGCGGUUCGAUCCCGCUCGUCUCCA
rfam:Sporomusa malonica strain DSM 5090 genome assembly, contig: Ga0070592_165